rnacentral:misc_RNA from 1 species
UAGCCACCUCCCUCAUUGAUUUCAAUUAAUGGGGUUGUAGAUUGCUUUGUCGUGGUGUACAACGCGGUAUUGAUCAGAAAUUGUGUCAUGGCUUAAGUUGUGUGUGAUUUUGGCAAUACCGUGUUUAUUAAAUUGUUUGACUAAAUUGUAUUAUUGUGAGCUUUAUUAAAUUGCAAAAUGUGAUUGGAAAAUAUUUAAACUGUAUUUUGAUAAUGAACGAUUUAUGUAUUGCAUUUUAAAUUUUUAUUGUGCACCACUGAGUAUUUUUAUACUCAGUGAUGGCUUAUUUUGCUAUCGCAGAUAAGAGCAAGGAAAAAGCAGCAGAGUGAGCUGCUACUGAGUUGAAGAUCACAUCAAGCUUUUGUACGGGUAUUAUUUUAUACCCUUGUAGAUAAAUUUUGAUGUAAAUAUGGAAAUGUUGUAUGUAUCAAUAUAAAGUCGAGCAGUUGUAAAUAAAUUGUAAUAAUAUUAUUUUGGAUUUUCUUCUGUAAAUUUAAUAUUUGUAUUUAUGAAUUUCUCAUUAUAUGCUUGUGAAUGGAGAUAUUAAAUAUUUUGAGAUGAGAAAUCUUGUUUUGUAUUGUGAAAUUAUUUUGAAGUGUGUUGAACUGAGUUGAUUGAGUUUUUGAAGGUUGGGAGUUGUGAAAUAUUUUUGGAAGUGGUUUUUUUUAGGUAAUUGAAGAACUGUUUAUUCCAGUUUUCAAACAGAACUCUGUCAAAAUUUUUAUAAAAUUUGCGGAAAAAUAAAAUGGGCCAAAAUUUCCAAUUAGCCUUCCACUUAAUUACAUGUUUUAAAUACUUAUUAAAAAUGCUCACCACUUAUCAAAAAUAAGAAAAUUGUUUUAAAAUCCCUUGUAGGGUACUUAAUGAGUUAUCGGUAGGUGAAGUUCGGUAGUUCAUUAGGUAUUCUACGGGAUCAUGUUAUGCCUUACAGAGGGGUAAGGUGUGACAUUAAAUCCUGAUGCAUUGGCUGCUUUUGAAAAAGAACUCAGAAGAUAAUGCUUUAGUUCUCCACCAGCCCCUAGUGCUCUUUCAUUGUUUCAUAAAUAGGUUUCUAGCAUUAUCAAUGUCAUUUGCCUUUUCUUUCCCAUGGUUGUAUAUGUUGUCCCUAAAUAGGUUUCUAGCAUUAACCAAAAUUAGCUUUCUUUUUUUUACACUAUGCUUGUGUAUGAUGAAUUGAUGACUGGUCUCACGUUGCUUGGAAAAUGCCAUUGGAAAUUGGAUAUUGCAUUUUGUCUUGUGGAAGAACGGAAAAUGCGAGGAUCGAUUUGUAUCAUAGAUUUAUCAUUAUCAUUGCAGUCAAAGAUGUUGUUGUCUAUUAGCAGAACUCUGCUUCCGUGGCGUAUCUGUUGUUCUUCCUGUUUCUAAGUUAUCUCUCUUGUUAACAAAAAUCUGCCAUCUUUAUUUGCACGAGCUUGGUGAAUUAGCGCUUCCAAGUGGAACUGGCAUUGUUGUGCAUCAGAAAGUCACUGAAACAUCUAUUAGAAUUUUGGAAUCCAAGGCUGAAAAAUAAAUUUUUGCUUAUUUGCACUGCUCUUUUGAUAUGCUUAUUGAUGAAAUAAAUUUCCAAGUGGACAUGGGCUUCAAUUUGUAUCUUUUUGGGGUGCAGAAACGUUUGAAUACGCAAAAGAAUGCAUCUUUUACUAGAGAUCAUCUGGAGAAAAGAAAAGGCAUUAAUUAGCACAAGAGAUCAUUCCUUCUCUACCACAGAAACUUAAAAGAUGUUAUUCAGAUAAAUGAGUGGGAUGCUGCAGCACGUUAUCGUGUAUCCUAGUCAUCAUAUAAAAGCACUUAAAAAAGCCCGUUAAAAUCCUUUCCAGUGUAUCUCAUCAAGCACAAAGCUCGAAGCCCAACUUCCACCUAAAUGCAUCAGUAGAGUGCGGACAAAGCUACACAGCUUCAAAGUCGAUGGAAGUGGAAGGACUCCUGAUUUCUCAAGUCUCCUGAAGCUGUUGCUACAGGGGGUUUUGGACUGCUCUCUCUUUCCUGUUUCUUUUAACUCCAUUGGUAUCCAGGCCUUCAGUCCAAUGGCAUUUCAGGUUAAUCUGGAAAUGAACUUGUUUGGCGUUCAGACUAUAAAUUCUGGAGGCCUAAGUGGGAAAUUCUGUUUCUACAAGCGGAAGUUAUUUUUAGAUUUUAUAUAUUAAUUUUCACAUCAUAUUGACAUGAAUCCUGUGUGUACAGAGUACCCCGUUUAGACUUUAGAUAGGGGGAAGGAAAAACUCCUCCACAUAAGACUAUAUGACAUAUUUUGACUGUCUGUUAUUAAUUUUAUAUAUUAAUUUUAUAUUUUAUAUAUUAAUUUUCACGUCAUAUUGCUAUUAAUUGGCCACAAUGCAAGAGUCAGAAAAGAAGAAAAGAAAACUUGUUAACGUAACUAAUAAAAUUUUCCAGGAAGAUGAAAGGAUGGUACCUUGUAUUUAGAAUAAUAUAAUGUAAUGUGAAUAAAUCCUGUGGGUCAAAGUCUACUUCUAGUCUUUAUAUUCCCAUAUUUUACGUUUCAAGCUUUCGUGCUUCUUGGUUUUUCAUAGACAUUAGAGAUAAAAUAUAAUAAAUAAUGCAUGACUGGACCAUCGACUUGAAGUCAACCAUGAAAAUAAAUACUAUUUGUACUCGGAAUUUGAUUUCGGAAAGACUCCUAGAGUUGGUAAUUUUACUACUUGAAAUUGCAAUAUUAUUAUUCUUGAUAGCUUUAUUGGUUUCUUAGUUUCUGUCAUUUACUUUCAUAUUCUGAAGAAGGAAUACAACAAUCAUAUGUUAGUGAUUGUGAUUUCUAUUAUUUGUUCAUUUCAUUAAACUGUUAAAUUUCUUUGUAGUCACAGAACAAUUGCUGCUGCAUCAGUCAUAUUUCUGUCCCAUUUUGCAGCAUCUGUCAUGGCUUUUUCAUGUUGGUGUUGUAGGGAAUCUCGAAUUUUAUCCUUUGGUUAGUCUUUUAACUAAAAAUUGAGUAGCAUCAAACAUGUUUGAUGGUUGAUUAUCAUUUGCUUAAUUUUGUUGCAGCAGGAGAUGAUCCCAAAGUUCAUCCUGAUCCACAUGGGGGUCCUGAUGCAGACCAACUUAGGAGGUUUUCACUGGAGGAAUUGCAACUGGCAACAGAUUAUUUCAGCAAUGAAAACUUUCUGGCUAGAGGUGGAUUUGGCAAGGUUUACAGGGGGCGUUUGGAAGAUGGUUCACUUGUUGCAGUAAAAAGACUGGAAAAUGAACCUACACCUGGUGGGGCACUUCAGUUUCAAACAACAACAGAGAUCAACAUGGCUGUGCAUCGAAAUAUCCUUAGGCUACGUGGGUUUUGUAUGACAGCUUCUGAAAGGCUACUUGUUUACCCCUGCAUGACUAAUGGGAGUGUUGCCUCACACUUAAGAGAGCGACCUCUAUCACAGCCUGCACUCAAUUGGCCUACAAGAAAGCGAAUUGCAUUAGGCUCUGCGAGGGGCCUUUCUUAUUUGCAUGAUCACUGUAAUCCAAAAAUUAUUCACCGCGAUGUGAAAGCUGCAAAUAUUUUUUUGGAUGAGGAGUUUGAAGCUGUUAUUGGGGACUUUGGGCUGGCAAUAUUGAUGGACUACAAUGCUAGUCACAUUACCACUGAUGUAUGUGGCACAGUAGGGCAUAUAGCUCCAGAAUACCUCAAUACUGGGAUCUGUUCAGAGAAAACGGAUGUUUAUGGGUAUGGAAUUAUGCUUCUGGAGCUAAUUAGUGGACAAAGGGCUUUUGACCUUGCUUGGGUUGCAGCUGAAAAUGAUCUUUUUUUGCUUGACUGGGUAAAAGUUCUCCUGAGAGAGAACAGGUUAAAGGAGAUGGCUGAUCCCGAUCUCCAUGGCAAUUACAUAGAAGCUGAGAUGAAGCAGCUAAUCCAGAUUGCAUUGCUUUGCACACGGUGGUCACCAUUGUACCGGCCGAAGAUGUCAGAAGUGAUUAGAUUGCUUGGAGGUUAUGGGUUGGAAGAGAGGUGGGAUGAAUGGCAGGGGAUGGAGACACCUGACCAGGAGUUGAGACUGGCCCUUCAACCUUAUUACUUUAAUUUUGAUUCAACAGAGCAUCUGCCUCCAAUUGAGUUAUCUGGUCCAAGAUGAUUAUUCCUUUUCAAUACCCUUUCUACCGAUCAAGAACUGACCCCAGUCUCCUUCAUGAUUGAUCAAACUAGCUACACUAUGCUCUUCUUAAAUAAUGGCAUGCAUCAGGAAAGCAAAGCAUAUAUUUAAAUAUACAACUUUUCAGGUCCUUUUGCCCCCUCUGUUUCUUAUGAAUAAUAUCAUCAACUCGGAAAAUGGCAAUUUGUGGAAUCAAGUAAAUCGAUGUUCCUUGAUUUGCAUUAUGAAGUUGGAAGCAAUUAGGGAGGUUAGGAUGGAACAAAAAUUUUUUUUAUUGAUAUUCGGAUAAUCAAAUAGAAUUUUGAG